GGCCGCGUGGCGCAACUGAAUAGCGCAUCAGAUUUCGGCUCUGAGGGUUGGGGGUUUGAAUCCCUUCGCGGUCACCA
rnacentral:tRNA from 1 species